AUACGGCGUCGUUUGGGCACUGAGGGCACUAACCCAAAACGGCGCCGUUCUCUUUUAAUAUUUAAAUCAAAAUUUUUCUCAAAAAAAAAAAACAUUUCCAUUUCAUUUUUUUAAGAGGAAAGCAGAGGGGAGGGGGAGUCCUCUGCUAGGGUUUUAUACCCUGCCCGAGCCGCUGCCAUGCCCACCGUGGAGCCACCGCGAACCGUGCUCGAAGCCAGGAGCAUGCUUGGAGGGGCACGCGCGUGGAGAGGCCUGGUUUCCUGUUGCGGCGCACGUGGGAGGGCUGGAGGAGCGGCGGCUAAAGGGUUUCAGAAACCUUAGGGAUUUCAGGAGCGUUCUUCAAGUCAGCUAGGGUUUAUUGGGCUUGGGGUUGUUUUGGGUUUUAGGUAUUGCGUCGUUUGUUUGGGCUGUAUUGUUUUGGGGCAUUGGUCUUGCUGACAUUGGGCCAUACAAGCCUAUUGUAAUUGGACUACUUGUUAUUGGACUUUCAUUUUAUUUGGUUUUUUAUUUGUUGAA